CAGUCCCCAGAGUAUGAUAUUCCCCUUCCUGUGUCCAUGUGAUCUCAUUGUUCAAUUCCCACCUAUGAGUGAGAAUAUGCGGUGUUUGGUUUUUUGUUCUUGCGAUGAUAGACUGGAUUAAGAAAAUGUGGCACAUAUACACCAUGGAGUACUAUGCAGCCAUAAAAAAUGAUGAGUUCAUAUCCUUUGUAGGGACAUGGAUGAAAUUGGAAACCAUCAUUCUCAGUAAAUUUUCUGAACUUUUAUGCUCAGUUUUCCCUUUUAAAACUGAAUGCCUUUAACAGCAUCCACAUCACAUCUUGAAUGCUUUGCUGCUUACAAAUUUUUUCCACCAAAUACCCUAAAUCAUCUCGCUGAAGUUCAAAGUUUCACAGAUCUCUAGGGCAGGGGCAAAAUGCAACCAGUCCCCACUAAAACAUAACAAGAGUCACCUUUGUUCCUGUUCCCAAUAAGUUCCUCAUCUUCAUCUGAGACCACCUCAGUCUGGAUUUCAUUGUCCAUAUCAUCAGCAUUUUGGUCAAAGCCAUUCAACAAGUCUCUAAGGGUUUCCAAACUUUCCCACAUUUUCCUGCCUUCUUCUGAGCCCUCCAAGCUGUUCCAACCUCUGCCUGUGACCUAGUUCCAAAGUCACUUCCAUAUUUUCAGUUAUCUUUUCAGCAGCACCCCACUAUACUGGUACCAAUUUAUUGUAUUAGUUCAUUUUCAUGCUGCUAAUAAAGACAUACUCAAGGCUGGGCAAUUUUCAAAAGAAAGAGGUUUAAUGGACUCACAGUUCUACAUGGCUGGGGAGGCCUCACAAUCACGGUUGAAGGUGAAAGGCACAUUUCACAUGGCAUCAGAGAAGAGUGUGAACCAAGUGAGAAGUGUUUCCCCUUAUAAAACCAUCAGAUCUCGUGAGACUUAUUCACUACAAUAAGGACAGUAUAGGGGAAACUGCCCACAUGAUUUAAUUAUCUCCCAUUGUUUCCUCCCAGAGCAUGAAGGAAUUAUGGGAGCUACAAUUCGAGAUGAGAUUUGGGUGUCUCAUUAGACAUUUCUCCUAAUGCUAUCCCUCCCCUAGCCACCCACCCCCUGACAGGCCCCAGUGUGUGAUGUUUCCAUGUGUCCUCGUUGCUCAACUCCCACUUAUGAGUGAGAAUAUGUGCUGUUUGGUUUUCUGUUCCUAUGUUAGUUUGCUGAGAAUGAUGUUUUCCAGCUUCAUCCAUGUCCCUGCAAAGCACAUGAACUUAUCCUUUUAUAUGGCUGCAUAUAUUCUAUAGUGCCUAUUUGCCACAUUUUCUUUAUCCAGUCUAUCACUGAUAGGCACUUGGGUUGGUUCCAAGUCUUUACUAUUGUGAAGAGUGCUGCAAUAAACAUACAUGUGCAUGUGUCUUUAUAGUAGAAUGAUUUAUCAUCCUUUGGGUAUAUACAUAGUAAUGGGAUUGCUGGGUCAAAUGGUAUUUCUGGUUCUAGAUCCUUGAGGAAUCGCACACUGUCUUCCACAAUGGUUGAACUAAUUUACACUCCCACCAACAGUGUAAAAUCGUUCUUAUUUCUCCACAUCCUCUCCAGCAUCUGUUGUUUCCUGACUUUUUACUGAUCACCAUUCUAACUGGCUCGAGAUGGUAUCUCAUUGUGGUUUUGAUUUGCAUAUCCCUAAUGACCAGUGAUGAUGAGCUUUUUUUCAUAUUUUUUUUACUGCAAAAAUGUCUUCUUUUGAGAAGUGUCUGUUCAUAUCCUUUGCUCACUUUUUGAUGGGGUUGGUUUUUUUUUCUUGUAAAUUUGUUUAAGUUCUUUGUAGAUUCUGGAUAUUAGCCCUUUGUCAGAUGGAUAGAUUGCAAAACUUUUCUCCCAUUCUGUAGGUUGCCUGUUCGCUCUGAUGAUAGUUUCUUUUGCUGUGCAGAAGCUCUUUAGUUUAAUUAGAUCCCAUUUAUCAAUUUUGGCUUUUGUUGACAUUGCUUUUGGUGUUUUAACAUCUACAAUCAUCUGAUCUUUGAAAAACUUGACAAAGACAAGCAAUGGGGAAAGGAUUCCCUAUUUAACAAAUGGUGUUGGGAAAACUGGCUAGCCAUAUGCAGAAAACUGAAACUGGACCCUUUUCUUACAUCUUAGACAAAAAUUAACUCAAGAUGAAUUAAAGCCUUAAAUGUAAGAGCUAAAACCAUAAAAAACCUAGAAGAAAACCUAGGCAAUACCAUUCAGGACAAAAGCAUGGGCAAAUUUUAUAGUAUAUUUUAAAAAAUCAAACACCAUGACGAAGUAGGACUUAUCCCUGUGAUAUAUAGAUAGUUCAAUGUGUGCAUAUUAAACAGUGCAAUACACUAGAUUAACAGAAUGAAGGAUAAAAAGUCCCAUAAUCAUGUCAUCUCAAAUCUUUUUGACAAAAUUCAACACUCUUUUAUAGUAAAAAAAAUUCCAACAAAUUAGGAAUAGAAGAAACUUUCUUCAAUGCAAUAAAGGGAAAAUAGGAAAAGCAAGAAGCUAACAUCAUCAUCCUCAGUGAUUAGAAACUGAAAGCUUUUUCUCUGCAAUCCUGGAAUAAGGAAAGGAUGCCACCUCUUACCACUUCUAUUCAACAUAUUUCUGUAAAUUAUUACCAGAGCAAUUAUCCAAGAGAAAGAAAAUGCAUUCAACUCUGAAAGGAAGAAGUAAAAUUAUCUCUCUUUUCAGAUGUCAUAAUUUUAUAUGUAGAAAACCAUAAUGUGUACACAUCUACACACACAACUGUUAGAACUAAUAAACAAAUUCAGUAAGGUUGCAUAAUACAUAAUUGACAAGCAAAAACCUGUUGUAUUUCUGUGCACUAACAAUAAAAUAUCCUAAUAGCAAAUUAAGAAAACAAUCACAUUUGCAAUAGCAUCCAAAAGAAUAAAAGACUUGGAAAUAAACUUAACCAGAAAUGUUGUCUUAGUCUGUUUUGUGCUGCUGUAACAGAAUACCACAGACCGGGUAAUUUAUGACAAACAGAAAUUUAUUGGCUUACAGCUCUGAAAACUGGGAAUCCCAAGAUUAAGGUAGCAGCAUCUUAUGAGGGUCUUCUGCUCUGCCAUCACAAGGCAAAAGGCAUCAGAUAUUAGAAGGGCAGAGAGUAAAGGGGGACCAAGUUGGGGCUGAAUUCACCCUUUUAUAAUAACAUCAAUUUUGCCCGUGAGGGCAGAGCCCUUAUAGCCAAAUCACUUUCUAAUGUUUUCACUAUUUAAUACUGAUACAAUGCCAAUUAAGUUUUAAUUGAGUUUUUGAUGAGUUUUAUGACCAAGAUUCAAAUCAUAGCAAAUGUGAAAGAUUUGUGCAUUGGAAACUAAAAUAAUGAUGAAAGAAAUAAAGCCAGCAUAAAUAAAUGGAAAGAUAUCACAUAUUCACAGAUUGGAAGAAUUAAUAUUGUUUAAAAGCCCAUACUAUCCAAGGUAAUCUACAGACUUAUUGUAAUUUCUGUCAAAAUCUCAAUGGCACAUUUUAAUAGAAAUAGAAAUUUAAAAGUUUAAAAUUUAUAUAAAACCACAAAAGAUUCAAAUACCCAAAAUGACUUUGAGCAAGAAAAGUCAACACAUUUUCAAAUUUCAAAGCAACAGUAAUCAAAACACUAUGGUAGUGGCAUAAGAAAAGAAAUGUAGACCAAUGGAACAGAAUAGGGAGCCCAGGAAUAAAUAACACAUUCAUAGUCAACUGAUCUUCAACAAGGAUGUUAAGAACACACAAUGGAAAAAAAUGGUUUCUUUAAUAAAUGUUGCUGUAAAACCUGGAUGUCCACAUGCAAAAGAAUGAAAUUGUACCCUUAUCUUACACCAUACAUAAAAAUUAACUCCAAAUGAAUUAAAGACUUAAAUGUAAGAACUGAAAACAUAUAACUCUUAGAAAACAUGGGGAAAAUCUUCUGGACAUUAGCCUUGCCAAUAAUUUAUUGGAUAUGACAAGAAAAGCACAGGAAACACAAGCAAAAAUAGAAAAGUAGAAUUCUACCAAAUAAAAAUUCUUCUGUAUAUUAAAGGAAACAAUCAAAUAUAAAAUUAACCUACAGAAAAAGGAAAAUUAUUUGCUAAUCAUGAGUCUGAUAAGGGGUUAACUUCCAAAAUACGUAACGAAUUUCUAAGACUCAACAGCAAUCAAUCAAUAAAUAACCAUAUUUAAAAUAUGGAAAAGAAACUGAAUAGGCACUUCCCCAAAGAAGACAUGCAAAUGAACAGCAGGUAUAUGAAAAGGUGCUCAACAUUACCAAUCAUCAGAGAAAUACAAAUUGAAACCACAAUGAGCUAUCACCUCACAGCCAUGAAAAUGGCUAUUAUCAAAACAAAAGAAAAACACAAGUAUUAGGAAGGAUGUGGAAAAAAAAGCCUGGUAGACUGUUGGUAAAAUGUAAAUUGGUGCAGCCACUAUGAAGAAGAAUAGGGAGAUUCUCCAAAAAUUUAAAGAGAGCUAACAUAUGAGGCAGCAAUCUCUCUUCUCUGUAUAUAUGCAAAAGUAUUGAAAUCGGUCUGUUGAAGACAGAUCUGCAUUUCCAUGUUCAUUGCAGCAUUGUUUAUUCACAAUUUCCAACAUAUAGAAACAACCAUAAUGUCCAUUGAUAGAUGAAUGGAUAAAAGAAAUGUGUCAUAUACAUACAAUGGAAUAUUGUUUAAUGUUAAGAAGAAAGAAAUCCUGCCACUUGUGUCAACAUGGAUGAACGUGGAAGACCUUAUGCUAAGGGAAAUAAACCAGUCACAGAAGGACACAUACCACAUGAUACCACUUUAUAUGAUUUGGGUGUGUCCCCACCCAAAUUUCAUCUUGAAUUGUAGUUUUCAUAAUUCUCAUGUGUGAUGGGAAGGACCAGCGGGAAGUAAUUGAAUCAUGGAAGCAGUUUUCCCCAUGCUAUUCUCAUGAUAGUGAGUAAGUUCUCAGGAGAUCUGAAGAUUUUAUAAAGGGCUUCCUCCUUCACUUGGCUCUCAUUCUUCUCCUUCCUGCCAUCAAAUGAAGAAGGAGGUGUUUUCUUCCCCUUCCAUCAUAAUUGUCAGUUUUCUGAGGCUUUUCCCACCUGCAUAACUAUGAGUCAAUUAAACCUCUUUCCUUUGUAAAUCACCCAGUCUCAGGCAGUUCUGUAUAUCAGCCUGAUAAUGAAUUAAUAUAGUAUAGUAAGUUGGUACCAGGCAGUAGGAUGCUACUGUAAAGAUACCCAAAAAUGUGGAAGUAACUUUGGAAUUGGGUAAUAGGCAGAGGUUAGAAUAGUUUAUAGGGCUCAGAAGAAGACAGAAAGAUGUGGGAAAGUUUGGAACUUCCUAGAGACUUGUUGAAUGGCUUUGACCAAAAUGCUGACAGUGAUAUUAAGUCCAGGCUGAGGUGGUCUCAGAGGGAGAUGAGGAACUUUUUGGGAAAUGGAAUAAGGGUGACUCUUGCUAUGUUUUAGCAAGGAGACUGGUUGCAUUUUGCCCCUGCCCUAGAGAUCUGUGGAACUUUGAACUUGAGACAGAUGAUUUAGGGUAUCUGGCAAAAGAAAUUUCCAAGCAGUAAAGCAUUCAGGAGAUGACUUGGGUGCUGUUAAAGGUGAUCAGUUUUCUCUAUUCACACAGAUAUGGUUUGGAAUUGGAACGUAUGUUUAAAAGAGAAGCACAGCAUAAAAGUUCAAAAAAUUUGCAGCCCGACAAUGCUAUAGAAAAGAAAAACCCAUUUUCUGAGAAGAAAUUCAAGCCAGCUGAAGAAAUUUGCAUGAGUAAUGAGGAGCCAAAGUGAAUCACCAAGACAAGGAGGAAAAUGUCUCCAGGGCAUGUCAGAGGUGUUCGUGGCAACCUCUUCUAUCACAGGCUCAAAGGUCUAGGAGGAAAAAGAUACUUUCAUGGGCUAGGCCCUGGACAUUGCUGCUUUGUGCGGUCUCAGGACUUCGUGCCCUGCACCCCAGCCAUGGCUAAAAGGGGCCUACAUAGAGCUCAAGUCAUUGCUUCAGAGGAUGCAAGCCCCAAGCCUUUGUGGCUUACAUAUGUUGUUGGGACUCUGGAUGUGCAGAAGUCAAGAACUGAGAUUUGGGAACCUCCACUAAGAUUUCAGAUGAUAUAUGAAAAUGCCUGGAUGUCCAGGCAGAAAUUUGCUGCAGGGGCAGAACCCUCAUGGAGAACCUCUGCUAGGGCAGUGCAGAAGAUAAACGUGGGGUUGGAGCCUGCACACAGACACACAGAGUCCCCACUGGGGCACUGCCUACUAGAGCUGUGAGAAGAGGAUCACUGUCCUCCAGCCCCCAGAAUGGUAGAUCCACUGACAGCUUGCAAUAUGUGCCUGAAAAAGCUACAGACACUCAAUGCCAGCUUGUGAAAGAAGCUGACAGGGGGGAUGUACCCUGCAUAGCUGCAGGAGCAGAGUUGCACAAAGUCAUGGGAAACCACCUCUUGCAUCAGCAUGUCUUCACUUUUAUUUCAAGCCUCAUCUUCCUGAAACUUUUCUGGCAAUUCUUUCCAAAAUUGAAUUUCUCCAUCAAAGACGUGGAGUCAAAAGAAAUCAUUUGGGAACUUUAAGGUUUAAUGACUGUCCUAUUGGAUUUUGGACUUGCAUGGGGCCUAUGGCCCCUUUGUUUUGGGCAAUUUCUCCCAUUUGGAGAGGGGGUAUUUACCCAAUGCCUGUACUCUCAUUGUAUCUAGGAAGUAACUAACUUGCAUUUGAUUUUACAGGCUCAUAGUUGGAAGGGAUUUGCCUUGUCACAGAUGAGACUUUGGACUUGGACUUUUGGGUUAAUGCUGAAAUCAGCUAAGACUCUGGGGGGACUGCUGGAAAUGCAUGACUGUGCUCUAAAAUGUGAGGAUAUGAGAUCUGAGAGGGACCUGGAAUAGAAUGGUAUGGUUUGGUGGUGUCCCCACUCAAAUCUCAUCUUGAAUUGUAGUUCCCAUAAUCCCCAUGUGUCAUAGGGGGGACCCUGUGGGAGAUAAUUGAAUCAUGAGGGCAGUUUCCUCCAUGCUAUUCUCACGAUAGUGAGUACAUUCUCAGGAGACCUGAUGGUUUUAAAUAAUGGGCUUCCCCUUUUACUCAGCUCUCAUUCUUCUCUUUCUUGCCAUCAUGUGAAGAAAGAUGUGCUUGUUUCCCCUUCCACCAUGAUUCUAAGUCUCCUGAGGCCUCCCCAGCCUGUGGAACUGUGAGUCAAUUAAACUUUUUUUCUUUGUAGAUUACUCAGUCUUGGGCAGUUCUUUACAGCAGCGUGUGAAUGGACUAACACACUAGUUACAUAAAGAAUUGAAAAUAGUCAAACUCCUAGAAGCAGAGAGUGGAAAGGUGAUUACCAGGGGCUUAGGGAAGCAGGAAACCAGGAGGUACACAGCUUCUGCUAUGCAAGACAAGUAAGUCCUAAAGAGCUAUUAUACAGCAUAGUGCCUAAAGUUAACAAUACUGUAUUAUAUACUUAAAAUUUUCCUUUGGUUGCAGAUAUCAUGUUAAGUAAUCUUAUCCAAAAAUAAUUAUUAUAAACAAAUAGAGAAUGGGAAAUCUUCUGAAGGUGAUGGAUAGAUUUAUGACAUAGAUCUUGCUGAGUUUCUUGGGUGUAGACUUAUCUCCAGACUCAUGAAGUUAUGUACAUUAUAUUUCUACAGUCAUUUGUAUGUUAAUCAUUCAUCAAUGAAGUGGUUUAAAAAGACUUUCAUUUCUCCAAGAAAAUGCCUUGGCACCUUUUUCAAAAAUUACGUGAUCUUCAUAUAUGGACCUAUUUUAGGGUUGACUUUUUUCUUUCCUUUCAGCACUUUCAGCAUAUUUACUAUGUUGUUUUAUUGUUUUCUAUCCAUCAUUGCUUCUUAUGUGAAUCAGGUGUCAUUUAUAUUAUUACUCUCUUACUCUUUAUUUAAUAAGUCUUUUCCUCUGUCUGCUUGUUUUUCAUUGUUUAAUUAUUUUAUUUUAUGUUUUUAUUUUUGUGGGUACAUAAUUGGUGUAUAUAUUCAUAGGGUACAUGAGGUAAUAACUAAGACUUCCAUCUGCUUUUAAGAUUUAUUUUUAUAUUUUACUCUCAGCAGUUUGACUAUGAUGUGUGUAGCUCUCUUUUUUAAAAUUUAUUCUUCAAGGCAUUUUCCUUCAUGUGAAUCUAUAAGGGGUUGUUUUUGAAACGAUUUUGGAGUUUUAUCAUCAUUUCUCAACUAAUGUUUUCUACUCCAUUCUCUAUCUCCUUGGUUUUGGAAUUCACAUUCAAUCUAUGUUUGUCUGCUUGACAUUGUCCCAUGAGUCAGUGAGGCUCUAGUCAGUUUUUUUCUCUUGGUUCUUCAGCAUGGAUAACUUUUAUUGACCUCUUUUUAAGUUUAUCAGUUCUUUCUACUGCCGUAUCUAAUUCACUGUUAAGCCCAUUCAUUUUAUUUUUCAAUUCGGAUGCUGUAAUUUUUAGUUCUAGAAUUGCCAUUUAAUUAUUUGUCAUAGUUUUUAUGUCUCUGGAGAUCUUUUCCGUCAGUUUAUACAUUAUAAUCUUUUUGUUAAAGUUCUUGAAUAUAUUUAAUAUGCUGUUUCAAAUUUUUUGUCACAAUUUUUGCUUAUCUUUGAAUCUGUUUCUCUUAAAUGCUUUUUCCUCCUUUUUAAUGGGUCAUGUUUUCCUGCUUCUUUGCACAUACAGUAAAUGAUAAAACUUUGCAUGUUUGUUCCAUCCAAAUUUCAUGUUAAAAUAUCAUCCCUGAUGUUGGAGGUGGGGCCUUGUGGCAGGUGUUUGGGUCAUGGGGCAAAUCCCUCAUGAAUGGUUUGGUAUGCUGUCCUUGCGAUAGUGAGUGAGUUCUUGUGAGAUAUGGUUUGUUUAAAAGUGUAUAGCACCUCCCCCUUCACUCUCUUGCUCCCACUCUUACUAUGUGACAGGCCAACUUCCCCUUUGCCUUCUGCUAUGAUUGCAAACUUCUUGAGGCUCUCACCAGAAGCAGAUGCUGAAGCCAAGCUUGUACAGCUUGCAGAACCAUGAGCCAAUUAAACCUCUUUUCUCUAUAAAUUACUCAGUCUCAGGUAUUUCAUAGCAAUGCAAAAAAAUGGCCUAACACAGUAAAUUUUAUUAUUUGUUGAAUGUUAUGAAUGGUAUCGUGUCUUAGUUUGUCUUCUUUUUAAAGAUGUUAAAUAUUUUUAUGAGAGAUAACCAAAUUACUUGACAGGUAGAUCCUGUCAAGCUGUUUUCUUUUGUUACGAUGUAUCUAUUUUACUUUUCAAUUAAAUCCUAGGAUGUUGACUUUAUAGUAAAAUGUGAGUCUUCUGUAUGAGACGUAUCAUUUCCUGGGAUCUUAAGUGAAUGCUCAAGGUGUGUAGUGAGGUUUCUCCACUGUUGUUAUGUCAGAACAUCAACAUCCAUGAGUCCUACAGGACCUCUUGUAUCUCUGUUCAGCUGCCAACUCUGUAGCAAGUCCUCUCUGCAAGGCCUCAAGGAGUCCUUUGUGGAUACAUGUCCAGCCCUGUACAAGGAUUCAAAGUGAGUCCCAUUGCCACUUCUGCAGCCACUCCUCUGUACAUCUGCUUCACUUCCUGAUUGCCAGCCACUUCAGCAGGUUAAAACUCCAAUCUCUGACCUUUUAAUUCAACAACUGUGCUACUCUGUUUGGGUUUCACCUCCUUGUGUCUCGGCAGGCAGGAUGGCAGUGCUAUCUUCAGGCUUGGUUCUAUGUUUAGAUUUUCCUUGCAACUUGUAUCUUGGUUUUCUGUUGCCUAAUGUCCAAAAACAGUUGACUCAUCAAUUCUGUCCAGUUUUAUGCUUGUUCUCCACUGGAAGGAGAGUCUUGCGACUCACUGUCAUAACCAGAAACCAAAGUAUCAUCUCCUGUUAUUUGGAUUACUGCAACAUCCUUCUACCUAUCUUCCUGCUUCCACUCUUGCCUACUCCCCCAUCAUCACAGUCUAGUCUCAGCCUAUCAGUCAGAGUCAUCCUCGCUAAACAGUUAGAGCAUGCUCCUCUAUUACUAAAAACUAUCCAUGGCUUUCUGGGGGAAAAAAAAAAUGCUUUCAAUGACCUGUCUGCUCUUCCCUCAGUCCUAACCAUGACUGGGUCUCUAACCGUGAAUUGUCAUCGUUUCCAUUUGUGCUACACCGGUGUCCUCCCUCUUGUAGAUGUCCCAGCCAUGCAUUAGAGCUGUGCACCCACUGCUCUUGGUCCACAGCCUGCUUCCAGUCACCUGAUUGCUCUCUGCCUCAUUGUCUUCGCUUUUAUUUCAAGCCUCAUCUUCCUGAAACUUUUCUGGCAACUCUUUCCAAAAUUGAAUUUCUCCAUCAAACUACAUGAACUUUUCUCUCUACUUCUGUAUGUCUUUUCCUCUGUGAAACCUGUCAAUAACUACAACAUAGCCUCUUGUGAAUAUUGACCUUGUCUCUUAUUUGUUUUACACGUUUAGGCAUGAACAUUUUGUGUUUUGUUCACUUUUGUAACCCCUUCACCUAGAAGAGUACUUGACUCUGAGUAGACUUGGUAUUCCUUGAAACAAUAAAAGCUAAAGCAAGUAUAAAGAAUUUACUUUCUACAAUAAUAAUUACUAUUUAUUUGUUCACUUACUCUUUAAAUUUUUUCAGGAAAACUUAUGAUGUAUUAAUUAUAACACGAAGAAGAGCAUUCAAGUUAUGUCUUAAAAAUAUUAUAAAGAUAGCUGGAACAAAUUACAGAAGACAACUUUUCCAGAUAUUUCAUUAAAUACCUUAAAUACUGAGAAUCUUGUAAAAAAUUACAUUGUGUAUUUUCUUUCAUUCCAAAGAGAUUACAUGGAACCCAGAUUAUUUUAUUUGACAAUCAUUGAAAUAGAGAUGAAAUAUUUUACUGCAUUUUACUAUUGAUAUAACGACAUCCUCAAAAUUUCUGGAUAUUUUCAUGGUUCAUACCGUUUUACAAAAUUAUCUAAAACUGCUCUUCUUUUUAUAUUUUUCACCAUUUUUGAAGUUAUUAAGACUUUCCACCUUAGAUUCAUUUCAACAAAACAACCAUGAUUGCAGAUUUUUUUUCUAAAGAUUACAUGUUUCCCUGAUUAAAAGGGGAUAGAAAAUCAUUCUUCCUGUUAGUGACCCUGGGCAACUUGGCUCUCUGGUGGAUUCUACUCUUUUCCCCUGCUGUAGUUUGAACUGCAAGGUCUGAUGCUCUGUGAUGUGUUCCUCAGUGAUAGAUCCAUGGACAACUCACUGGAUGUGGCCCUGUGAGGCACUAGAGGGAGACUGGGAGGUGGAGAGAAGAAUCAAGCCAGCCUUGUCUUCUCUUUACCCACUUCCAAUGGCAGUGGCUGUGUGAUGGCCUCAGUUUCCCCAGGGAGGCACCCACAGGUGAGCUACAUCACCUCCAUCACUUCCUCAUGGUACUCACUGGCCUGGUGCAGUGGCUUCCUGCUGACACUGAUCCCUGCGUACUUGCAUUCUCUUUUGGCUCUCUGCCCCUCCCUCACCUGUGCAAUGGUUUUCCUGCAUUAUGUUCUCCCUUGUUAGGUAGAUACAUAGAUACAUAAUAUGGAGACAUAGGUAUAGAGAGAUAUAGAGGUAGAUAUAAAGAUACAUAUGUAUGUUUUAUACGGUUUCUCUUUUCCAGGCAUUUCCCGCGUAAACUCUUAGUCAAUGACUCAAGUCAUGCUAUGAGCAACAAUUUCUGUGUUCCACAUCAUGUACAAGCAACACAAUCUGUGACUCUCCAUCUGCCCCUAGUUAUGCUUUGGCCAGUAAUCCAAUUGCUACCAUCAUGCUUUCCUCUUAAAGAGUCCCUGGAUAUUCCUGCCUAGCUUGAGGGAAGUUACUUUAUUAGGGUGAUUUGGGCACUUGGGGAACCUUUGCCAUCUUUAUGACUUAAAUUUUGACUUACCAAAAUAAAUAAGACAUAUAAGGAAAGAACAUAAAUUUAAUAGAAAAAUUCAGCAUAUUUCCCCGUGGAUGUCUUAUUUACAUUAAUUUGGCCUCUCCUUUCUGUCCUACUCACCCCUCCUAAAUAGAAAACAAAGUUAAUUAUUUGAUUGGCUGUAUUAGGGAAAGAAUUAGGGCUGAACCUGUUUGUCUUUUGUUCUCUGUUUAUUUGGAAAUCUGAAAUAGCAUCUAUUCUUGGAUUAUCUGUAUCAUAAAUUUUCAAGGUCAGGGAAGGCUGAAAUCUUCAGCUCAUCAAUAACCAGUUGGGUUCAAUGCAGGGGUGCUGAACAGGAAGCCCACUUUUGCAGAGGAGGGAGCCGUUGUGUGCAAACAGCCUGAUUAGUAAUAAAGGCAGUGAUUUUGUUGUCUAUCUCUUUGGUUUCUCCCCUAUACAUUAAUUAAUUUAAAUGUGGGGUUAGGGAAGACAUUCAGUAAGUCUUUCGAAACCCUAACAACAGUUUACAGAACAAACAUCACAUUUAACACUUUUUUUUUUUUUUGAGACAGGGUCUCACGCUGUCACCCAGGCUUGAGUGCAGUGGCACAAUCUCUGCUCACUGCAACCUCUGCCUCCCAGGAUCAGGCUAUUCUAAUGCCUCAGCCUCCAGAGUAGCUAGGAUUACAGGCACCCGCCAUCAUGCCUGGCUAAUUUUUGAAUUUUGAGUAGAGAUGGGGUUUCACCAUAUCGGCCAGGCUGGUAACAUUUAACACUCUUACUGGUAAAUUUAACACACCCAGCCAGAAUCUUUGCAUCCUUUCCUGGGAAUAUCAUGAGAAGAGACUUCAAUUUAUGAUAAUUCUCAAGGGAUAGAUAAAUGACACUUUUCGGUCACGUACCUUGAAAUCACCUCUCAAAAACAUUAAUUAUAAAAAGAAAUGCUCAUAUGAGGAGAGACAGGUAUUAUUGUGUUGCCCUAACCUGUGGCAUUUCUGUGAGAAGGUGCAAGGCCAGGUCCCCACACUGUUUAAGCAUUCAGAGGACAGCAGAUAGCAUGCUCCUCCAUAUCCAUUCACAGCUCCCAAAAAUGCAGUGGUUGGCAUCACAGCUUCAAAGCAUUCAAAAAAAUUUCCAUAAGUUUUGACUUUUCACCCAAAUGGUUUUACGAUUUUCAUCUUAAAAAGGCAGAGCUGGACCUGGCACCACACCAACCAUCAUAUCGUCCUCUUGAGUUGAUCAUUGCCCAUUGGGGAGUGAGAAGCAGGCUAUGAAAGCAAACAGCUUAGCCGUGGUUACUAGAAAACAGACAGGUGGUGCCUUCUCAAUCAGCUUGAGGACAGUCUCUGAAGCAAACGUCACGAACAUAUGCAAAUCAUCGGCUAAUAUGCUAAAUCAGAGGAUGUGUUUUUAUUAAGAAUUUCGAAUCUGCAAAAUGGUUUCUCCUUGUAUUAUUUUUUCCUGGAAACUUUCAGGUUUUUUCCUUUGUGCUGUAUGUUUAAGCCUGUAUGCUAAUCUUGACCUAAAUCCCUAUUCAUCUUUCCAUCAUUAAACACGAUCCUGUCAUUCAGAUGUUUGAAGGCUUAAGAGUGACUGUUUCUACUCUUUUAACUGCAACAAUUUGGCAUCCUGUUUCCCAUAACUGCCAUAUCCAUGUUUUAUGGGAUUUUGAAAAGGUUUCGGAAAGUAUUUUGGACACAGGACAGCCUACUGAAUGAGACUUGGAAAGUGCCCCAAGCAAAGUGGUAGGGGCCAAGAGAAAGCCCAGAAAUGAUUCAUGGUGUGUUCACACCGUGUGGGCUGGCAAGUGCGGGAGACGGCUCUCUGCUAGCAGACUGGAACUAAAUUCUUAGACAUUCCUGGGCUGCCAAACAAUGUCAUCACAGGGGUUCCUAAAGAAGCUGUGAAUUGGAUGUCAGUGUCUUUUGGCUGAAAGGAGAGUUUGUGUCAGACCCCAAGAGGUCUCCUUAGAUACAUUUUUCUAAUUGAGGCUCCUUCUCUUACCCUGACAAAGAAAAGCAUUGACACCUGUGUAUUCUGCGUGGGGAAGACUUUCAGCUAAGCCAGAUUCCAAGCGGGAGGUUACAGCAGGCUCGGGUGUGGUUUAUUCCCUCUGCCAGUUCAAUACUUUUACCCCACAUUUUCAAAGAAAGCGUGUGUCCUGUCUGGUCCCUGCACACCCUUCCUCCUCACCCAACACUCUGUGGUCCUACAAUUUGACUACUAUUCUUGCUGCUAGAGAGGCCAGGCCACACGGCAUCCAAAGGGGAUCCCAUCGCCACGGCAGACACUUUGGCUACGUCCUGCCCUUCUCUUUCCUUCUCUGACCUUUUAUUUCCAUGGUGAAAAUCCACAGCUCUUUAACACACUCUGCAGCAGCCCAUUUUUAGCUUAAAUAAAAGUGAAGAGAGGAUUUAGUUUUCCAAUCCCACUGCAUUAGUGUCAAAUAUGUUUAUGCUAGUAAGAGGAAAAUAAAUACAUUCUGUCAUACAGAUGCCAUUCAAAUCUAAUGGGACUCAAUUUCAUGCUUUCAAUACUGAGAGGAAGUACCCAGAUUAGCCUCAAAUCAAGAGUGAUUCCUGAACCUUCUCUAUUUGCCACAUGCUAGAUUUCCAGUUUUUUUUAUUGUCUUUAUAUAUAUAUUUUUAAUAGCAACAACACUAGAUACCAUUCUCACAUGCUUUCCUCGGGAUCCUAUUAAAUAGAAUUGAUUAUCUGUGGGUAUGCAUCAACUUAUAAAGUAGAAGAAGGCCCAGAAUUUUUCAAAGAAGUUAUGAGAAGUCUUUCGUAACUAAAAAUUUUAAACAUAUCUGACACAUAUGAAUUUAAAAAAUAGCCACAGGAGAAUUCAGUUUGAAUUUACUUGAUAAUUUGAAGAAAAUCAUCACUCAUGUUAGAUAAAGCAUUGUCAAGAGGGUCAAGGGAGGAGCCAUACAUCCUCUUCUGCUUGAUCCUCUCAACAACUGUGGGACAAUGUUAUGUCAUCAUCCCAUUUCGAAGGUGACAACCCUGUACCCUGGCAUGGCUUUCCCAACAUCCCACAGAGUAUAACAUAGGGUUAGGACAGGACUGUAGGGUUUUCCAACUCCAAAUCUUCAAUCUUUUCUGUGGCACCAUUGAAAGCUACAAACUGGCCAGGUGUGGUGGCUCAUGCCUGUAAUCCCAGCACUUUGGGAGGCCGAGGUGGGCAGAUCACGAGGUCAGGAGUUUGAGACCAGCCUGGUUAACAUGAUGAAACCCCAUCUCUACCAAAAAUACAAAAAUUAGCUGGGUGUAGUGGUGGGCACCUGUAAUCCCAGCUACUCAGGAACUCAGGAGCCUGAGACAGGAGAAUAGUUGUAACCUGGGAUGCAGAGGUUGCAGUGAGCUGAGAUCACGCCACUGCACUCCAGCCUGGGCGACAGAGCAAGACUCUGUCUCAAAAAAAAAAAAAAAAAAAAAAAAGAAAGCUACAAACUAUGCCAGUAACCAAGAAGAUGUUUUGUUAUCCAUAUACACACUUAUUAAAUAGAUACUGCAAUACUUUCCAGGUAUCUGUUGCACGUGACGCCUGUCACCAAGCACCAAAGAAGCUCUUCCACCACAUCUGGUCACGUAGCACAUGUUCAUCAAACACUUACUACCACAGCAUUUUGUGUUUCUGGGGCUGGAGUGAGUGUUGGGGAGAAAGAGCUCUUGUACCUUCAGAGCUCAUGCCCUGCUGAGGGGCCAGGGAAGUCGUAAAGAAGUUGAUUAAAUUAUGUCAGGAAGCAUCAAGUAUUAUAAAGAAAAAACAAAAAGCAAAGCGGGAUCAGAAGAGUGACAGAGGGCAGGGAUCGGGGUGGCCUGAUCUGUGUGGGAAAGUGACUGAUGGCGAAGACAACACAAUUAGUUUCUGCCCAUAGGGACCAAACAGAAACAACAACAGCAACAACAAAUCAAACCAACAGGCAAAGUCAUCAUGAGCUGUGAUAUGUGAUGGGAAGGAAAACUGGGAGGCUGGGAGACAGGAUGAUGGAGGAAGCGCUGCCCUUACAGAGGGUGGUGUGGGACCCUGUGCUGAGUGGGUGACCUGCAUCCUGAGAUCUGACGAUUGAGAAGGAACCAGCUGAGUCCAGUGGAAGGAGGUGCAUUCUACCAGAGCCAUCAUCAAUUGCACUGAUCUGAUGACUGGAACAACCUGGUUCCUCAAGGACUUAAGAGAAACCAGUGUGGGUGUGGGAGAGGGAUGGACAAGGGAGUGAGUGGAGGGUGGCCCAGAAUGGAACUGAAGGGAUGGGUCUGAGUCCACCCUGCAGUCCUGGGGGCAGGGGAGAAGUUCAGGUUUAUCUCUAGGCUAACGGGAAGUCAUGGGAGUGUUUUAAUCCAGGUGACAUUGUGUGGAGCCUGCAUCGUGGGAGGGAGGGUGGAGCAGGGAGCAGUUAGGCCCCCUGGGAGUAUCUGCCAUGUCUGCACAGUGCUGUCAGGGUGACCUGACCACCGCCACAGGAGAGGAAAGGGGGCUGAAUUUGUGGUGUGCUUGGAGAUAGAACUGACGGACAGGUCGGAGCAUGGAUGGAGAGUGAAUCAGAUUGUCUGGAUGAGGGCAGGGUCUCUCUUAAGGGAAGAGGGAAGAUUUCAGAGGGAGGACCUGUUUGGGGACUGGGGAGGAGAGCGAUGCAUGUUACAAAGGUCAUCUUAAUUAGGGAAGCAAGGAAUCUCUGACGGAGACAAGUCUUCAUCUGGUGAGAUUUGGGCAAGACAACUUCAAAGCUCUUUUCAGCGCCCCCAUUACCCGUGCCAGGCAGUCACAUGGCUGUACUCUGGGGCCUCCAGUGACAGCUCUGGCUGCUGGGACCUCCCCAUCCUUGGACAGUUCUGCCUCUGAUCACACCAGGGCUUCCUGCCCCAGGACUUGAACCUGAAAGAUCCAUUCAGCCCAUCCAGAGAUGGACGCAGUGCUGCUUCUCCAAGUGAUUCCUCCCAGCACUCAGAAGGGGGACUAUGUUCCCUGUUCCAUUUCUCUGAACAGUCAUGGCCUCCACCUUUCCUCUCCCAAGCAUUCUCUGGCUACUUGUCCUGGCCAUGGCUUUUGGAUUGUGCUUUGUUUGUUUAAUGCUCUCUGAAUGAGGCAUCCAGAACUAAUGUGGUACCCACGGAUGGGGCCAGAGAGACAUCAGAGAAAGGCUCCUGCCUCCUUGACCUCGGCUGCUGGAGUCUGUUGAUUCAGCCCCAGGCAACUCAGCCCUUUGGGCUCCCACAUCACACUGAUGAUUCAUUCUGAUCCCAGUCAAUUAGGCCCUUUUUUUGAACACAUGCCCCUGUAAGCUGGGGCUCUUCAGUUCUGCUUUGGAGGACAUGGUUUUGGAUCCCAAAUCAUCUCGGCUACCUUCUGAUGAACUGUCUGACAGCUGACACUGUAAAGAUAUUCCUGGUUUCACUCGUGACAAGAAGACAAUGGAAACUCAGCUAUUAGUGUUGGGCCCACAGCCCAAGCUGCAGCCACAGUCACAGUGUCAUCACUGCACCGCGCUGGCAAGGAUGGGGUGCUUGUCUAGGAGCUUUGUGAGCACAGACAGGAUGCUGCGUGCCUUUGUAGAGCCAGUCUGUGGUGUCAGGCAGGCAGGAAAUGUGCUACCCUUGAGUGAAGCAGGAUCCCACACAUUUGGCUUGGUUGUCUGAGACCAGAUUCGGAGAGCACUAAAUCCUGGCCUAAGAAGCCAGGGCUUUAUUCUGCAGGAACUGGAAAAUCAUUGUAACGAAGGGCUAAAGAAGUAUUUGGAAAGGUUAACUGGUGGAAAGGUUAAGGAUGAACUGAAGAUAAUACGGCUAACUUUUUAUGAACCCCCACAAAGAAGUCAAUGUAGGGAAAACUUUGAGUUACAUUGGGGGUAAAAUAAGAAUAAUUGUGACUUACUUUGGAUAUAAAGUGAACAUAUAAAGUCAAUCAUUCAUUCAAUACCAUAGCACUUUUGUGUCUUCUCAAAAGAAAACAUCCAAUUCAAGGUGGGUGAGAGUCAGGUGUGUGUGUGGUUUUUUGUUGUUGUUGUUGUUGUUGUUGUUUGACGGAGUUUUGCUCUUGUUGGCCAGGCUGGAGUGCAAUGGUGUGAUCUCGGCUCACUGCAACCUCCGCCUCCUGGGUUCAAGUGAUUCUCCUGCCUCAGCCUCACGAUUAGCUGGGAUUACAGGCAUGAGCCACCACUCCUGGCUAAUUUUGUAUUUUUAGUAGAGAUGGAGUUUCUCCAUGUUGGUCAGACUGGUCUCGAACUCCUGACCUCAGGUGAUCUAUCUGCCUCAGCCUCCCAAAGCACUGGGAUUACAGGCAUGAGCCACCGCACCCGGCUGAGAGUGAGUUUUACACAAAAUUAUUCUUGCUUAACAGGAGUACCAGCAUGGUAAGACACAUUUGUGGAUGCACAGAGCCAGCAUGAUGUGGUCAGAGAGCAAACUAUCACAGCACAGCAUCUUCCUACAAGAAUCAUUUCUGUUGGCUGCUAAAUAUGUGAUGUGUUCACAUGGUUCAAAACCUCUCCCUCUCACCUUGGGGUCCACGUACCUAAUCCACACCAGGCCCUCUGCCCACGCAGUUUCAGUUUCUUAGGAAUCUUUCCAGUAUUUCCUUAUAGCAAUCAGGCUCCCUUCUGCCUUUUCCUGCUCUUAUUUCUUUGAUUCUAAAAAAAAGUGAACAACUAAAUAGGACACAGUCUAGAAACUAAUCCAGAAGCUGAAGUGCACAAUGGGCUUCUUAGCACAUGUUUAUCAAAGACUUAUUACCACAACAUCCAGUGUGCCUUGGGCUGGAGCGGGUGCCGGGGAGACAGAGCUCUUGUGAGUUCGGAGCUCAUGUCCUGCUGAGGGGCCAGGAAAGGCAUGAAGAAGAAGCUGAUUAAAUUAUGUCAGGAAGCAUCAAGUAUUACAAAGAAAAAGUAAAAAGCAAAGCAGGAUCAGAAGAGAGAUGGAGAGUGGUGAUUGGGGUGGCCUGAUCUAUGUGAGAAAGUGACCGACGGGCAAGACGUCAGAAUUGGUUUCUGUCCAUAGGGACCAAGCAGAAACAACAACAGCAACAACAAAUAAAAAUUAACGAACAAAGCCAUCAUGAGCUGUGAUAAGUGAUCAGAAGGAAAACCGGGAGGCUGGACGAUGCAUCAGCUCAGCCAUGAUGUUGGAUCUGUAGCCAGUCACACUGAACUGACCCCCGGGUGCAUCCCAGUUUGUACUGUGGAAUUAUUACUCUAUUUUCGACUUAGUGCUAAUAGAUACUGUGGCUGGUUUAUCCAAUGGAUGGGGUUCACUUUUUCCCUGAUAAUCCUGUUUUACAGUUUCAAGAUAAAAGUAAAAACAAAAAAGAAAUGAACAAAAACAAAAACCCUAUGUGGAAAGUGUUGGGGAGAGGCACGUGGUACAGAUACCCCAGACAGACUUUUCUAGAAACCACCUCUCAUCUGUCUUGGGCAACAUGAGGGGGUACUUGGAUUUCUGGGCUGGUCAUCCUCUUGUUGCUAUUUCAUGGAGGACACUGACAUUCAGUGCUCCUGGCAAGCUCACUAUGCAAAUUUAUAUUAUUUUGCCAUUAUAAAACAAAUACACACUGGCAUAUCAAAGGAAAUUUAGAAAAUAAAGAUUUUUAAAGUCCAUUGGCAUAAUAAAUUCAGAAAGAGCAGCUAUUUUCAAAAUAGUAUGCCUUAUUGUAAGUCAGUACAGAAACAAAUUGUUGUAGCCAAGAGCUCACUGACAGGUGAAAAUACUGGAAUAACAGAGUAGCAGAAUUCUAGAAUGGGAAAGUAAUUAUUAAAAGGAGGAAAGAGCAGAGGCCAGCUUUCUUUAGCUGCCUGCCAUUCGCUUCCUGUGAGGUGGAUUGCAGAUCCAUCAGGAAGAGAGAACAGGGUUUCACAGUUCCCCUGCUUUUUACUCAUAAAUGUACAGGCUUCACCCAGCCCUGCCCUGGAAGGGAACAUGAGGCACAAUGUUAAGCAAAGAAUCACAGAGAUGCAUUUAUUUAUUAUGUGUGUUUUUAUUUUUUUAUUUUUUUGAGACAGGGUCUCGCUCUGUCACCCAGGCUGGAGUGUAGUGACACAAUCAUGGCUCACCACAGCCUUGACCUCCCUGGCUCAGGUGAUCCUCGCACUUCAGCCUCCCAAGUAGCUGGGACUACAGGCAUGCACCACCAUGCCCAACUAAUUUUUGUAUUUUUUUGUAGAGAAGGAGUUUCACCAUGCUGUGUAGGCUGGUCUCGAACUCCUGGACUGAAGUGAUCCACCUGCUCAAUCUCCCAAAGUGCUAGGAUUACAGGCGUGAGUCACCACGUCUGAUGGAGAUGCAAUUUUUUAAGAAACCCAUAUCAGUUAAAGAUCUAGAUUCUUGGUAUAAUAAUGCAACAAAAUAGCAUGAGAAUAAGCCGUUGCCCUGGCAUGCGGAAUGAUUCAGAAAGCUAGGGAAGCAGCAGCCCAACAGAAGCUUGAGACUCACAGAGGAGGGCAUGGGGAGCUCCUGGAGGUGCCAACUGGGCUUGUCAGUGCCGUAGUCAAAUUUUCAUAUCUUCAUCAUCCCGUGAGCCAGAACCUAGGGGUAGAAAAUAUGCAGAAGGAAAAUAUACACAAUGCAUCAAACCAUUGCCUAUAUUAUGACUAGAUCCAAAUUAGCCUUGGGGUAUAAUGUUUACUUAGUUUACAUGCAUUAUAUACUUAUUGCAGUAAACAAAUUGAAAUGUUCAUAUCCCUACUGUACAGAAAUGAACACAGGUUCCCUUAAUUUUGACACUUUUUGCUUGUUAUUUUAUUAAAUCAUAAAGAAAUGAAAUAAGUCACAUGUCUGAACCUCUCGUACCCAGCUCUGGUCACAGGGCCUCCUGUACCUGGGACUAGAGGUGCAUUCCAUUGUAGGAGAAUUACUUGAUUUUUUCCAGUAGGUUUCCAAAAUCAGAGUGAUUUUUCACUUGAAUUAUUUCCUUAGAAAUGCAUCCCCAAGGAAAAGUGCUACACAAAUACAUUUUAUUACACUUUUGAUCAUCAAUUUACCAGACCUACUCUUUUAUGGAACUGAUAAUAUGAAUCUUUCAGUAAAAUACGUCUUGCAACACUGGCCCAUCAUCAUCCUCUACAUAAAAUGAAUAUACAUAUGAGCCCCGGAAAAGGGGAAUCUUGAAGGCCUAGGUUACAAUUGCAGCCAUGCCAUUGAUAGAAACCAAAGUCCUAAAAAAUUCCUCUAAAGCCAUAAAUGAACCAGAUAUACAAAUAACUACAUGUGUAAACCUAUAAAAAUCUUUCUGAAAACAGAAAAUAUUCGAAUAAAUUAAGAGUAGAUUUGGUACUUAAGACAGUAUGUUAAAUAUAUUGAUUACUUCACGUAACUAUGUAAAUUAAAGGAAAUCGCAAUCAAAAUUUCCACCAUUUUUGGAAGUUGAAAAUUCAGUCUUCUGGAUAAUUCAGAACUAGGCAGGAACAUUCUGAACACAGGGAGAACAGGACCUUGCCACUCAAUAAUAUUAUAUAAAAUAAAGCAGCAGCAACUAAAACCGUUCAUACUAAAGAAGAAUUAAAAGAUAGACUGAUAGAGCAAGGAGCCCAGCUACAUACCAAGUACACAUGGCAACUUAAUAUUUAAUGAAGACAGAAUUUCAAAUGAAGGGAGGAAUAUAUAAAUUAGUUAAGGCAAUAUAUAGAUUAGUUAAGAAAUGGUAUUAAAAUAACUGCCAUCUAGAAAAUGACAAUGGGUUAACAUUAUUUCUUACAUGAAGAAAUAUUUUUUAAAAUAAUUGUGGCCUAUGAAAUUGUUUUUCUAAACAUGAGUGGUUAUGUAGAUUAGUAUAUAUAACACAGUAAUUAUUGUGUUGCAAAUUAUAUGCUGAACAAAGUCAAGAAGCAAAUAAUUUACUCAGUGAACAAAGUCAAGAAGCAAAUAAUAAUGGGAUAAAAAGUAUUGCAAGGAGGUAUUUCAAAAUAGCAUGUCAUUAUUUUUGUAAUAAAAAUUAUUUAAAUGAAAACCCAGAUACACCUAUUUAUAAAAACAUAGUUCCAAUAUCACAACUGCGUUAAAAAAAUUCAAAAUCCUCUCCCAGAAAAAGUACUAACUAGAGAGAUUUUAAUGAGAAUUAGGUAUUUUUUUAAGAGAACUACAAAUAUUAUCUAACAAAUGUAAAAGCAGAUUCAAAUAUAUAGAAAAGUGUAACAUGUGUUGGGAGUUAAAAUGGAUGCCAAAAGACAUUGAUCUAACUAUUUCUUAGUCUCUGAAUAACUUGUAGGGAUCCUUUGGAACUAAAAGCCUCGUGUAGAUGUCUUGUGUACACUGCAAAAUCCAGCACGUGUGUGACAUUCACAAAGGCCUUUUGACAUCAUCCCAACCACUCACCUAAUAUGAAACACCAAAGGGAAAAUAUCCUCAAAUAGUUUUUUUUUUUCUGUUUGUGUUUGUGUGUUUUUCAUGACAUAAGUGAAAUACAAGGGGAUUCAAACUUCCCUUUAAGUAUUUAGCUUGGUGCUUGACAAAGGAUCCAACUGAGUGGCUAAUUAACUAAUUAAUUUGAAUUAAUGUAGUAAGGGAGGUGAAAGAGCAAGAUCUGCUGGACUCCUGUAGCUACCAUCAGGCAGCUGUGAGCAAUCAGAAACAUUGGUUUGAUAGAACUAAUUCAAGUGUGUGUGGUUUUCAACUUCUGGUGGAAUUCUUUGAGUCUACAAUAUGGACACAAGGGGCUCAACUGAAGUGAAAAUUUUCCAAUAUGCAGACGGAUUUGUAAUUAACGUAGAGAAUUAGCCAACUGUCUCUUGUGGGCAUGGUCUUAUUUCAUGGCCAAUCCUAUUCCAUAAAGGAAUCUGACACUUUUCUAACCACAGGGGAUUGGAGACAGAGCUUUCAUCUUGUGUUUGUAUAUCACCUCCUUUCUCCUUCAUUAUAGGGGGUUGAAUUGUGUCACCCUAAAAAGACGUGUUCAAGUUCGAAUCCCCAGUACCUGUGAAUGUGCUCUUAUUUGGACACAGGGACUUUGAAAACUUAAUCAAGUUAAGAUGAGGCAAUGCUGCAUUAAAGUGGGCCCUAAAUGCAAUGACUCUUUUCCUUAUAAAGUGAGAAGUGUCACAGAGACACACAGAGGGAAGAAGGCCACCUGUUUAUUCACAUUUUCAACUUUAUGCCAUCUAUUCCAUCCCGUUAUUUGGAAGUCAAGACAACCCUCCUAGCUUUCUUCCUCAGUGCCGUCUCCUGAAACCCAACAUGGAGAGCCACACAGUUUAGGUACAGAAUGGAAGAUCCAGACCCCAGACAAGAUCGUUGCCUCUCCCCGCACUGUUUACUCUAUGGCUACAAAUGAUCGCCUCUGAGAAUGUCUGGAUCUAAAUGAGUGAGAUAUUUGUUGUUGUUUGUUUAGAAAGCCUUGUAUAGCUUGAUUGAGGGUAUUGGUGCAGGAAAGUCUUUCUAGCCCCAUUGUGAAAUCUCUGUGCCUCCUUCAGUUUCCUCACUUGUAAAUUAAGACCAUUUUACCCCUCUCGUGGGGUUGGUACAUCACCACACUCACGGGGCUUACAAUGAGCGCAUACACCUGCAUUUGACCCUCGCUAAUCACACUGUGAUUAACCAAAGAAGUGAACAUGAUCUGAAUCUGUGAGUCAGGAACCAACGUAAAGACCCAAAUAAUAUGAAAAACCCAAACCUACAUGAAAGUCAUGGGAUGGUGGACUUUUUGUCAUCCCAGGACAGCCGGCCUGUGUUUACCCAAAAACUGGGCAAAUUUUCAUCCUUAAAAAUGGACAAGAUGCCCAACACCAGCUUCCUUGCAAGUGCCCACUGAGCUCCCAGCUCCAACGGAACAGAUGAAAUAGAACAGUGAGUUAUCACCAAGAGUGAGUUUUCUAUUGAGCAAGAUUUUGCCUAGCACAUGUGAUCCAUGGGAUCAGUGAGGCUGUGCUGGUUGUGGGAUGUCACCUGGUGGCGGUGAUGGGGAGGAAGUGAUGGAGAAAAGGUGAAUGAAGGAACAGGAAGACCCCUGAGAGGAAGGAAGCCUCAGUCUGGAGAAGCUAAGAAAAAAAAAAAAAAAAAAAAAAAGAAGCAUCCAAGACAUUAAACAGAAUACAGAAGACCAGAUUAGAGGCUCGUUUCAAUAGUAGGAGUUAUCAGGGAUAGGCCAGGGAGGAAGACAGCGCAGCCUGGGCUCCCAGACCAUUCUCAGCUGACUUUUCAUGCGGCUUUAAAAGGAGCUGGACUGGAUGGGGUCUGGACUGUGCACCUAAGGGGACAAAUCUCAUAUUUAAAUUUGCAGAAAUGUGGGGGCAGGGCCAAGAUGGAUGAUUAGCAACAGCGGCGAUCUGAGGCUCCCAUAAAAAACAAAAAAACAAAAAAACAAAAACAAAAAAACAUAAUAAGCAUGUAAAUCCUUCACCGGCAACCAAGAUAUCCAGGUUAUCUCAUCAGAACUGACUAGGAGGCUUGCGUGAUUCGCGAAGAGAAAGGAAGAGCAGUGUGGUGCGGCAGCCCACCCGAGAGCCACACAGGGCAUGGAAGCCCCUCCCCACAGCCAAGGCAGGUGGUAAGUGAAUGUGCUGCCCAGCCGGGUGAGACGAGAAGUCUUCUUCCAAUCGAAGGUUUUUCUCAGUCGUUUCAUGGUCUCACCAGCUUCUAGGAAUGAAGCCUUGGACCACAGCGGUGAGUGUUACAGCUCGAUUGGAGAAACGCGCGGACCCAAAGAGUGUGUGGCAGCAAGAUUUACUAAAGCGAAAGCAAAAGUUAAGCAAAAGCGAAAGUAAAGCUUCCACUUAGUGGAAGGGAACCCGGAAGGGUAGCAGUUUCUGGCUUGGGUGUCUUAUGCUUAUAUCCCCUCAUGACCCCUCCCCUUUUCCUUUUUCUGUCCUAUAGAAUUAGCUUAUUUUCUAUCUGCUUGUGGGUUGGCGGGCCUGAUUGGUUAAAAACGUCAGGCUGCAGCUAGAGCUUAAACUCCCUAUAUGAUUGGUUGAAGUUUCAGUCCCUUAGCUUGCAGCUAUGACUUAUUUUGGCUUAGGGGAAAGUCCCCUUAGGGAAGUCCCUGUUGACUCAGGAAGUCCAGCCAACUUAGCCACUUAGUCCUUCACGGGGAAAACGUGCUUUUUCCACGGAACUGUGCAACCCAUGGAUCAGAAGAUCUUACUCACAAACCCAGGCCACCAAGGCCUGGCAUCCCCCAACCCCAGAGCUGCACAGAUUCUCAACAGCCUCUCAGCUGGAAUCUGCUUAAGCCGACUGAGCUCCCGGGGGGAGGGGCGACCAGCACCAGAGCUUCAGUUGCCUACUGUCUACACCAUUUGAGCUCCUUGGGUGAGGGGCAGCAGCCAGCACUGGGACCCACAACCGCCUAACAAGCUAAGCUCCCUGGGAGGCGGAAGGGCAGCAUCUAUCUCUAUAGCUCCAGGCUGCGCUUUUCCCCUGCUGGCACCAGGGAGGCUGGACUGCUUGGUCCCAAGACGUGUCCCCAACAGCCCAACACACCGGCUGUGGCAGUCAGCAGUGGAGUGCCUCUUCAGGCCUGACCCUGACUCAUCCUUCCUCACUGGGCAGGGCUUCCCUGCAGAAACUCCAAUAACUCCAGCCAGAGGCUCAGGGACAGAACCUGGAUCUCUCUGGGCCUGAGCCUCUGGGGGAUGGGUGGCCACAGUCUCUGUGGACCAGCAGACUUAGGCUUUCCUCCUGGUAGUUCUGAGGAAUCCAGACAGCCCAGAUGAGUGGGUUUCCCCCAGCGAGGUACACACCCUCCACCAAGGGACAGUCAAAUAGCUUCGUUAAGUGGAUCCUGUUCCCCAUCCCACCCAACUGGAUGAGAUUCUCCAACAGGUGUUGUCAGACACCCUAUACAGGAUCGAUCCUACUGGCAUCCGGUUGGUGCCCCUUGAGGUCAAAGAUCCCAGAAGAAGGAGUAGGCACCCAUCUUUGCUGUUCUCCAGUGUUGGAGUGAGCCAGAUGAGUAGGGCCUGAAGUGAACCCCCAGCAAACUGCAGCAACCCUGCAGAAGAGGGACUUGACCAUUGGAAGAAAAACAAACAAAUAGAAAGCAACAACAGCAGCAGCAUCACCACUAACAACAAAAGCCCCCACAAAAACUCCAUCCAAGGGUCAGCAACCUCAAAAAUCAAAACUAGACAAACUCAUGAAGAUGAGAAAGAAUCAAUGAAAAAAUGCUGAAAACCCAAAAGGCGGGAGUGCCUCUUCUCCAAAUGAACACAGGGUCUCUCCAGCAAGAGCACAGAACUGGAUGGAGGAUGCGAUGGAUGAAUUGACAGGGGUAGGCUUCAGAAGAUGAGUAACAAAAAAAUAUGGUGAGCUAAAGGAGCAUGUUCUAACCCAAUGCAAAGAAGCUGAGAACCUUGAUAAAAGAUUAGAGGAGCUGCUAACUAGAAUAACCGGUUUAGAGAGGAACAUAAAUGACCUGAUGGAGCUGAAAAACACAGCGCAAGAACUUUGUGAAGCAUACACAAGUAACAAUAGCCGAAUCAACCAAGCAGAAGAAAGGAUAUCAGAGUUUGAAGACCACCUUGCUGAAAUAAGGCAUGCAGACAAGAUUAGAGAAAAAAGAAUGAAAAGGAAUGAACAAAGCCUCCAAGAAAUAUAAGACUUCAUAAAAAGAUCAAACCUAUGAUUGUUUGGAGUACCUGAAGGAGACAAGGAGAAUGGAAACAAGCUGGAAAACACACUUUAGGAUAUUAUCCAGGAGAACUUCCCCAACCUAGUAAGACAAGCCAACUGCAAAUUCAGAAAAUACAGGGAACACUACUAAGAUACUCUACCACAAGAUCAACCCCAAGAUGCGUAAUCAUUAGAUUCUCUAAAGUUGAAAUGAAGGAAAAAAUGUUAAGGGCAGCCAGAGAGAAAGGCCAGGUCACCUACAAAAGGAAGCCCAUCAGACUAACAGCAGAAUUCUCAGCAGAAACUCUACAAGCCAGAAGAGAUUAGGGGCCAAUAUUCAACAUUUUUAAAGAAAAAGGAUUUCAAAUCAACACCCUAACAUCACAAUUAGACAGCUAGAGAGGCAAGAGCAAACUAAUUCAAAAGCUAGCAGAAAACAAGAAAUAUCUAAAAUCAGAGCAGAAUGGAAGGAGAUAGAGACACAAAAAACCCUCCAAAAAAUCAAUGAAUACAGGAGCUGGUUUUCUGAAAAAAAAAAAAGAAAAGAAAAAAAACCAUUAGAUAGAUUGCUAGUUAGAUUAAUAAAGAGGAAAAGAGAGAAGAAUCAAAUAGACACAAUAAAAAAUGAUAAAGGGGAUAUCACCAAUGACCCCACAGAAAUACAAACUACCAUCAGAGAAUACUAAAAACACCUCUACAUAAUAAACUAGAAAAUCUAGAAGAAAGGGAUAAAUUCCUGGACACAUACACCAGCCCAAGACUAAAUCAGGAAGAAGUUGAAUCCCUGAAUAGACCAAUAACAGGUUCUGUAACUGAGGCAGUAAUUAAGAACCUAGAACCAAAACAAAAGCCCAGGACCAGACAGAUUUAUAUCCAAAUUCUACCAGAGGUACAGAGAGGAGCUGGUACCCUUCCUUCUGAAAUUAUUCCAAAUAAUUGAAAAGAAGGGACUCCUCCCUAACUCAUUUAAUGAAGCCAGCAUCAUCCUGAUACCAAAACCAGGAAGAGACAAAAUGAAUAAAGAAAACUUCAGGCCAAUAUACCUGAUGAACAUCGAUGUGAAAAUUCUCAAUAUAAUACUGGCAAACUGAAUCCAGCAGCACAUCAAACAAACUUACCCACCAUGAACAAGUAAGCUUCACCCCUGGGAUGCAAGGCUGGUUCAACGUAUGCAAAUCAAUAAACGUAAUCCACCACAUGAACAGAACCAAAGAUAAAAACCGCAUAAUUAUUUCAAUAGAUGCAGAAAAGGCCUUUGAUAAAAUUAAACAUCCCAUCACGUUAAAAACUCUCAAUAAACUAGGUAUUGAUGGAACAGAUCUCAAAAUAAUAAAAGAUAUUUAUGACAAACCCACAGCCAAUAUCAUAUUGAAUGGGCAAAAGCUGGAAGCAUUCCCUUUGAAAACUGGCCCAAGACAAGGAUGACCUCUCUCACCACUCCUAUUCAACAUAGUUUUGGAAGUACUAGCCAGGGCAAUCAGGCAAGAGAAAGAAAUAAAGCGUAUUCAAGUAGAAAGAGAGGAAGUCAAAUUGUCUCUGUUUGCAGAUGACAUGAUUCUAUAUUUAGUAAACCCCAUUAUCCCAGCCCAAAAAUCCCUUAAACUGAUAAGCAAAUUUAACAAAGUCUCAGAAUACAAAAUCCAUGUGCAAAAAUCGCAAGCAUUCCUUUACACCAACAAUAGACAAUCAGAGAACCAAAUCAUGAAUGAACUCCCAUUCACAAUUGCUACAAAAAGAAUAAAAUUCCUAGGAAUACAGCUAGCAAGGGAUGUGUAGGACCUCCUCAAGGAGAACUACAAAUCACUCUUCAAGGAAAUAAGUGGAAAAGAAAUAGAAAAACAUUCCAUCUUCAUCAAUAGGAAAAAUCAAUAUUGUGAAAAUGGUCAUACUGCCCAAAGUAAUUUAUAGAUUCAAUGCUAUACCCAUCAAACUACCAAUGACAUUCUUCACAGAAUUAGAAAAAAAAAACUAUAAAUUUCAUAUGGAAUCAAAGAAGUCCCCAUAUAGCCAAGACAAUCCUGAGCAAAAAGAACAAAGCUGGAGGCAUCAAAUUACCUGACUUCAAACUAUACUACAAGGUUACAGUAACCAUAUCAGCAUGGUACUGGUACCAAAACAGGCAUAUAGACCAAUUGAACAGAACAGAGACCUCGGAAAUAACACCACACCUCUCCAACAAUCGGAUCUUCGACAAACCUGACAAAAACAACCAAUGGGGGAAGGGUCUCCUAUCCAGUAAGUGGUGCUGGGGAAACGGGCUAGCCAUAUGCAGAAAACGGAAAGUGGACCCCUUCCUUAUACCUUACACAAAAAAAUAACUCAAGAUGGAUUAAAGACUUAAAUUUAAAACCCAAAACCAUAAAAACCCUAGAAGAAAA